UACGUAGGGGGCUAGCGUUGUCCGGAUUUAUUGGGCGUAAAGAGCGUGUAGGCGGCCAGGUAGGUCUGGUGUGAAAACUCGAGGCUUAACCUCGAGAUGUCAUCGGAAGCCAUCUGGCUAGAGUCCGGAAGAGGAGAGUGGAAUUCCUGGUGUAGCGGUGAAAUGUGCAGAUAUCAGGAAGAACACCAAUGGCGAAAGCAGCUCUCUGGGACGGUACUGACGCUGAGACGCGAAAGCGUGGGGAGCGAACAGG
rnacentral:rRNA from 1 species